GACGAACGCUGGCGGCGUGCUUAACACAUGCAAGUCGAACGGAAAGGCCCCUUUGGGGCUACUCGAGUGGCGAACGGGUGAGUAACACUUAAGUAACCUGCCCUUGACUUCGGGAUAACUUCAGGAAACUGGGGCUAAUACCGGAUAGGAAUCCUUUCUGCAUGGGGGGGGUUGGAAAGCUUCGGCGGUUUUGGAUGGACUCGCGGCUUAUCAGCUUGUUGGUGGGGUAGUGGCUUACCAAGGCUUUGACGGGUAGCCGGCCUGCGAGGGCGACCGGCCACAUUGGGACUGAGAUGCGGCCGCGGCUCCUACGGGAGGGAGAAGUGGGGAAUAUUGACCAAUGGGCGGAAGCCUGAUGCAGAAACGCCGCGGGCGGGAUGACGGUCUUCGGGUUGUAAACCGAUUUCAGCAGGGGCGAAGCUUGUGGUGACGGUACCUGAAGAAGAAGCACCGGCUAACUACGUG
rnacentral:rRNA from 1 species